GACGAACGCUGGCGGCGUGCUUAACACAUGCAAGUGGAGCGACGAACCGGGCUUCGCCCGGGCAAAGCCGCGAACGGGUGAGUAACACGUGGGUAACCUGCCCCGAUGACCGGGACAACCCGAGGAAACUCGGGCUAAUACCGGAUGUGCUCGCAGCACAUCAGUGGAGCGAGUAAAGGAAGCUUCGGCCUCCGCAUUGGGAUGGGCCCGCGGCCCAUUAGCUUGUUGGUGAGGUAAAAGCUCACCAAGGCAACGAUGGGUAGCUGGUCUGAGAGGACGAUCAGCCACACUGGGACUGAGACACGGCCCAGACUCCUACGGGAGGCAGCAGUGGGGAAUCUUGCGCAAUGCGCGAAAGCGUGACGCAGCAACGCCGCGUGA
rnacentral:rRNA from 1 species